AGAGAUGGAUUGGUGCCUUCGGGAACGUCUGACACAGGUGCUGCAUGGCUGUCGUCAGCUCGUGUCGUGAGAUGUUGGGUUAAGUCCCGCAACGAGCGCAACCCUUGUCUUAUGUUGCCAGCACGUGAUGGUGGGGACUCGUAAGAGACUGCCGGGGUCAACUCGGAGGAAGGUGGGGACGACGUCAAGUCAUCAUGCCCCUUAUGUCCAGGGCUUCACACAUGCUACAAUGGCCAGUACAGAGGGCUGCGAGACCGUGAGGUGGAGCGAAUCCCUUAAAGCUGGUCUCAGUUCGGAUCGGGGUCUGCAACUCGACCCCGUGAAGUCGGAGUCGCUAGUAAUCGCAGAUCAGCAACGCUGCGGUGAAUACGUUCCCGGGCCUU
rnacentral:rRNA from 1 species